GUCCCCAAGGAGGGGACCGACCUGGCCAAGAAGUCAGGCAGGUCUCCCUGGCAGAGGUGCAGGCGCCAGGUGCCGUCAGCUCAGGCCAGGAGGCGUGGAGCCCAUGUCUCUGCAUCCUGGGCACCCAGGCUGUGCCCGUCACCUGGCAGGGCAUCAGAAACAGGUCAUGAUGCUGGGUACUGGGCGGUGAGGCCGCCAGAGGCCUUGCUUAGAUCUUCUGAAAUUCCUUCUCUAGAAAUCAGCCUGCAUCAGGAACACAGGACAGCAGCACAGAACAGGGUAGCCCCUGAUGCCAGUGACGCGUGCCCCCCAGUGUCCUGUCACUCCCCUCUCUCUGUCCUAGAGAGACUCUAUGCUCUGGAUCUGGCCCCCACCGCUCGUCAACACCCUUCUUGCCAAGGCCACCAGCGUCCCCCUCGGCACCGCCUCCAAUGGACCUCUUUGCAACCCGUGGGGGCCGGUCCACGUCCUCUGUCUGGAACGCCACCUUUCCGUGGCCCUGGGAUACCACACUUCCACCUGCACCUCCCCUGCAAUCUCAGUUCUGGUCCCUCUUCCUCCGCCCGUUUCUUCCUGCUGUUUCCCAGGGUUCGCACCCAGAUCUUGAUUCUCAGUUCACAUACCCUCCCCAACUGGGGUUGCGUUUACACACUGACACGGCGAGCCUCUCUCCGGCUCAGAUGGCUCUCUCCAGCUCCCGCUCACCUGUCUUCCUAUAGUCACCUCACUCGUAAACGGGACAGUGUCUACCCAGAUGCUCAAGCCCAGGCACGACCUUUACCUCCCUUCUCCUCGUUCGCUCUCCUAGAGAUCGGGUCACAGUCAGAUCCAGGCACACCAGAAAAGAGACACAGAGAAGUCAGAAGAGAAGUACGUGGAAAGGGAAAGAAAGAAAGAAAAAGCCCAGCGCGAGAAUGCAUCUCUCUAGACAAGGACAGACUCGCAGAAGGUGACCUAACAGCUCACCACACACAUCAGAAAGCAAGUGGAGUUCAAGUCUCAUCACGCCAAAAUGAGAUACGGAUUAAACAGGAAGAUUUAAAACCAGUACGUUCUGACACUGAGUGA
rnacentral:lncRNA from 1 species